rnacentral:piRNA from 1 species
UAGGAUAAUGUCUAUUACCAUCCCAGCAUGC